UCAAGCGUUGUUCGGAUUCAUUGGGCGUAAAGGGUGCGUAGGCGGCGCGGUAAGUCGGGUGUGAAAUCUUGGAGCUUAACUCCGAAACUGCAUUCGAUACUGCCGUGCUUGAGGACUGGAGAGGAGACUGGAAUUUACGGUGUAGCGGUGAAAUGCGUAGAUAUCGUAAGGAAGACCAGUGGCGAAGGCGGGUCUCUGGACAGUUCCUGACGCUGAGGCACGAAGGCCAGGGGAGCAAACGGG
rnacentral:rRNA from 1 species